GGGGUGCGAAGCUGGGUCUGGGGGAGCCGAGCGGAGCAGGGAGCCGUGUCGGUGCCCGGUCUGUUCGCCCCACCCCCCGUCGGGCUAUAAGAGCGGGUCGGUCAGUGUCCGGCCUGGGAGACGCGAGGGCCCGGGCGGGGUCCGUGCCUGAGGGCUGAGGCAGUAUAACGCUCAGGCAGGGUAUAAAGGCCUUUUAUAAGUUCACAUUUGAGACGUACAUAAUUUAUGAUCUAAUCUUCAUAUAAGGAAUCUGCAGUCAUGUCCAGCUGUUCUGUACCUUCUAGACCCACAGACCCAAUGGCAGUCCCACCGUCCUACUGUGACCUGGGGAAAUCCGCCAGGGAUGUAUUCAACAAAGGAUAUGGAUUUGGAAUGGUCAAGUUAGAGCUGAAGACCAAGUCUUCCAGUGGAGUGGUGAGUACAGAAAACUUUCAAUGACAUGCAUCCGACGAAGUGGGUAUUCAGCCAUG